rnacentral:rRNA from 1 species
GACUCUUAGCAGUGGAUCACUCUGCUCCAGCAUCUGUGAAGAAUGCCAUGAGAACUAAUGUGAAUUGCAGGAAGAUGCACCCAUUCACACUUCCUUUGCCCGGGGGUGUGGCCCUGGGUUUCCUCCAGUGGCUAGGCCUACCUGAGUGUGG